UACGAAGGGGGCUAGCGUUGUUCGGAUUCAUUGGGCGUAAAGGGUGCGUAGGCGGCGCGGUAAGUCGGGUGUGAAAUCUCGGAGCUUAACUCCGAAACUGCAUUCGAUACUGCCGUGCUUGAGGACUGGAGAGGAGACUGGAAUUUACGGUGUAGCGGUGAAAUGCGUAGAUAUCGUAAGGAAGACCGGUGGCGAAGGCGGGUCUCUGGACAGUUCCUGACGCUGAGGCACGAAGGUCAGGGGAGCAAACGGG
rnacentral:rRNA from 1 species